ensembl:lncRNA
CUGAGCAGGACUUUGUUGGGGGUGGGGGGGGGGGCAUCUUUGCUACCUGAUGGUGGCGGGGAGAGGUCCUGUGAGCAUCUGAGAGGGAGUGGAGGGAAGGAACAUGAAACUGUACUGAUAGCAAAGUUGUCACUGCACAUUCAUCAGCCAUGAUACACACCCCGGUCAGUUUUAUGGCAGAUGAGGGCUUUAUGCUUGGGCAAGGGAUCAGCUGUGUAUUGUUCAUCUCUCUUGUUCACAGGAAAACAGCUUUGUAUAAGCUGGAAAAUAAAUAGGAUUGCAUCAGAGAAAUGCAUGGCCCCAUCAUCACCUAUUUUCCUCUUUAUCACCCCAGCUACGGAACCAGGCUCUCUGCUAUCAGCACAGCUUGGAAAGGGUUACGCACGGCAGAAUCUGGCAGAUCUCUGCGCAGAAGAAACCAAACCCAGUGGUCUCCAUUCAAAGAGCUGCUGGUACUUGCAAGAAGCACUGUCCCCGUGGAGAGCACUGCUCCAUCUGGCCUCCACAACUCGCUUUUUCAUAUCCUUUCCCAUGCACAUUCCUCAGGACAUUGGCCUUCAUGCCUCUGGGGACAGGAGGAAAACAUUUUGCUUUCUGUUUUUAGAGAGGCUGAUGCUUUUUCUGCAGCUCCCUCCGGGUCUUGCAUUCUCUCUGAGACUAAUGCAGGCAGUAACCCCUCAAAAGACUGAACAAACACCCUUGUCCUAGUUGCUUGUGCACAGUCCUGGGAAUCUUGCCCUGCACUUUCCUCCUCCUGACCUUGUUUUCAUCGGAACACCACAGCAGUAAUUACCCUGAGGUUGAAGGGUUAUUCGAAAGCAAGUACUGUGUCUUGUGUGCUCCCUCCUUUCCAGCUGUUUUUACUCCCUACACUGGAGUUAAACUCUACCUGGAGUUUUCUUUGUGUUGUUACUAAUUUAGGGAAACACCAGCAGUGAGGUUGGUGGGUGUGGGUGGGAAUACGUGUCCAAUUCCAUGCGUUUCUUGUUCUCUGGUGCUCUGAGAAGUCACCAGCACGCUGGGGCAGCUGGACCUGCCACUGGGUCUCUCCCUGGGGUGUCGUUCAUAGUCUGAGUGCUCUCAUGGGCUCUGGUUGACUGUGCCUGACAAAAGCAUUAGCUGGACACUGGAGUGGAGGUGGGAAGACUGGUCAAAGUGCAUGGCAUGCAGCUGGACUGCCCAGCUCAUGGAUGGCUGCCGUGGCUGCACUGCCAAAGGCAGAAAUGUAGCAACACUCAGACAGACUCAACACAUAAAUACGAGCGGCCCAAGUGUCUGAGGUGGGUUAGUUAAUGCUGAAAUGGAGGGUUUUGCAAGAAGAGAUAAAAUCAGCUUCACGUUUAGGAGGAGGGUUUGGAGUGGAUUUCCAUUACAGGGUCAAGUGAUCCAGCAUUCCUGUGCUGUGCAGUGCUCUUUUCCAAAGAAUUUGCUGCUGAAUAUGGAUUUAGCCUGAAUAUGCUUUAGCCUUCCAGGGCUAAAUAUGUUUCUGCCUUCCAGGGUAGAGCUCCCCACAGGGCACCAGUUCCUUUCAAGAGCAUGGCUGGGCUUUUCCAGUUCUUGGGCACAACUCAAAAAGGAGCUAGUUUGUGGCCAAACCAGUGGAGCUGUGGUGUAGUGCUUUGGGCAGAAAGCUGUUAUGUCACUCCCAAUCCCUCUCAUAUAUUCGCCUGACCUAGCUGCAAGCUGUUUUCCUUGAUGCUAGUUAGGAGGGACUUGGGAAAACCCCCUGUCACUGGAUGACAAGGAUGGCACAGGGCACUUGUGUUCCCUGUCCAUCGGAGGGGAAGCCCUCUCCAGCUUUCAUCCCACCCAGGGAGAGAAAAGUGGGGUUUCUGCUGCAAAACAGCUCUUCCUUCUGCCAAGUGCUGGCAGCCCCCAGUACAUUCCAGUCCAACUCUGCACCCUCUGCCUGCCAACGAGGGCUGGGAGCCAUGGGCACUGCCAGCCUCAGAAAGUCCCUACCGGCCACCCGCGGGCCAAGAUCUGGCGUGGCGUGAGCCAGCGGUCCCCCUCACUGGACCAUCAGCAGCGUGGCCGCGGUGGCUCUCACUUCCAGAGACACCUUUGCUGCCUUGCUCCCGGUACCCCCCGCGCUGCCUGCACCCUGGGUCCGCGCACCCUCGGCCGGGCUGUGCCCCGGGCUGUGCCCCGCCGGCGGGGCCGGUCCCGCCCCGGGGGCGGGCGGCGGAGCACGUGGGGCCGCGCCGGGCCGGGCUGAGUCACCGCCCGCCCCGAGCCCCGCGGCGGAGCCGAGCCGAGCGGAGCCGAGCCGAGCGGAGCCGAGCCGAGCCGAGCCGAGCCGAGCGGAGCCGAGCCGAGCGGAGCCGAGCCGAGCCGAGCCGAGCGGAGCCGAGCCGAGCGGAGCGGCUGGCUGAGGAGCGCAC